ensembl:lncRNA
UAUAUAAGGUAGCAUUUCAUCGAUCAUGGGGGACAACAAUAAAAGCGGGAUCAUGGUUACAUGGAGAGGCAGGUAGCCUAGUGGUUAGAGUGUAGGGGAGGUAGGUAUCCUAGUGGUUAGAGUGUAGGGGAGGCAGGUAGCCUAGUGGUUAGAGUGUAGGGGAGGCAGGUAGCCUAGUGGUUAGAGUGUAGGGGAGGCAGGUAGCCUAGUGGUUAGAGUGUAGGGGAGGCAGGUAGCCUAGUGGUUAGAGUGUAGGGGAGGCAGGUAGCCUAGUGGUUAGAGUGUAGGGGAGGCAGGUAGCCUAGUGGUUAGAGUGUAGGGGAGGUAGGUAUCCUAGUGGUUAGAGUGUAGGGGCGGCAGGUAGAGCCUAGUGGUUAGAGUGUAGGGAGGCAGGUAUCCUAGUGGUUAGAGUGUAGAGGUGGCAGGUAUCCUAGUGGUUAGAGUGUAGGGGAGGUAGGUAUCCUAGUGGUUAGAGUGUAGGGGAGGCAGGUAUCCUAGUGGUUAGAGUGUAGAGGUGGCAGGUAGCCUAGUGGUUAGAGUGUAGAAGGUGGCAGGUAUCCUAGUGGUUAGAGUGUAGGGGCGGCAGGAAUCCUAGUGGUUAGGGUGUAGGGGCGGCAGGUAUCCUAGUGGUUAGGGUGUAGAGGUGGCAGGUAGCCUAGUGGUUAGAGUGUAGGGGAGGCAGGUAUCCUAGUGGUUAGAGUGUAGGGGCGGCAGGUAUCCUAGUGGUUAGAGUGUAGGGGCGGCAGGUAUCCUAGUGGUUAGAGCGUUGG